AUUGAACGCUGGCGGCAGGCCUAACACAUGCAAGUCGAGCGAGCGGCGGACGGGUGAGUAAUGUCUGGGAAACUGCCUGAUGGAGGGGGAUAACUACUGGAAACGGUAGCUAAUACCGCAUACCAUCAGAUGUGCCCAGAUGGGAUUAGCUAGUAGGUGGGGUAAGGGCUCACCUAGGCGAGGAUCCCUAGCUGGUCUGAGAGGAUGACCAGCCACACUGGAACUGAGACACGGUCCAGACUCCUCCGGGAGGAAGCAGUGGGGAAUAUUGCACAAUGGGGGAAAGCCUGAUGCAGCCCUGCCGCGUGUGUGAAGAAGGCCUUCGGGUUGAAAAGCACGUUCAGCGGGGAGGCGUUACCCGAAGAAGAAGCACCGGCUAACUCCGUGCCAGCCGCCGCGGUAAUUC
rnacentral:rRNA from 1 species